rnacentral:rRNA from 1 species
UACGUAGGGCGCAAGCGUUGUCCGGAAUUAUUGGGCGUAAAGAGCUCGUAGGUGGCUUGUCACGUCGGGUGUGAAAGCUUGGGGCUUAACUCCAGGUCUGCAUUCGAUACGGGCUGGCUAGAGGUAGGUAGGGGAGAACGGAAUUCCUGGUGUAGCGGUGAAAUGCGUAGAGAUCGGGAGGAAGGCCGGUGGCGAAGGCGGGUCUCUGGGCAGUAACUGACGCUGAGGAGCGAAAGCGUGGGGAGCAAACAGG